ensembl:lncRNA
AUAAUCUUAGAGGAAAACUAGUAGUGCCUUGGCACAUGAGACUGCACAGCAGGAGAAUGGCUGUAAAAUGCCACUUUAUACUUUCUUGAAGCCAUUGCAGUUUUCUUGCAGGCGAGCAUGAGGAGUUUAAUGUAUAGUCUUCUACCCUUCUGCAGUUCGCUGUCAGGAUUUUAAGCCCUUCUCUUUACAAUCCCUUUUAACUUCACUGUACUUUGUCUACCUCUUUAAAAUCCUUCACUGAAUUUGUAGCAAUGUUUUCUGUGAAACGACUUAGGAGGGAAGGAAUUUAGCAGAGGAAAAACUUAGGUUUGUAAGUCUAAUCACUACUGUUGUCAGUGCACAGCUGUUGGGGCCUAGCUGCUGAGAGAAAAAGGCAGGGCCUUUUGUCCUGAGGUUGAUUGGCUCAGCAGGAUCUCCUUUACAUCAUCGUGGAUUUUUUUUAAUUUCGUGAAUUCCUUCAUUCCAGAGCUCCUACCUGAAAAUUUCCAAGCAAAGGUUCAAAGAGAGAACAUUCAAGAAGCACACAGUUUUGCAGGAGGCUUCAAAAAUGAAUUAAAUUCAUGUGGUGUGCAUUUUGUCAGCUAGUAACUGAGUAGUUUCUCAGAUCAGCAGGUAUAUCAGCAGGAUGAUAACUAUAAAAACUGUAUCUACAUCUGUACGUGAGGUCCUGUGAUCGUCAUGAGGGCUCUGCCCCAAGAGCAAAAUAUCAAGUUCUUUUUUUCCCAGCAGUUACAGGUGGUGACAGUUGUUCCUAAUGCCAAGAAUCAUUUGCAACUACUACUCUUGUUGCUUAAGGCAGGACAAAGGUUGGACCAGCAUCAGAGAUAAAAUAAAGAGAGGCAAAAAGAGUUACUUGAAUUUGGCAUUCUGCAGUAAGCGAUACACAAGAAGCACCUAGGGGACUGCAGUUCUCAUCUGCUUCUCGGUGUGCUGGUAUUUCUGAAGAGAGGUGUGUGAUUGUCAGCAGUACGUGUCUGGAUCAGGACUCACCUUGUUACACUACAGCUGGGCUUCAACAUUUCUAUGACUGUCAAAAAUGUCGGCUGUGCAGAGCCAGCAUUCUCCAGCAAUGCUUCCACCCCAGCCAACUGCACCUUGCUGCUGGAAUCCCCAAGUGCACAAUACCAUGGGAACAUGAGAGGCAGAGCAAAGUUCUGCUUAAGACUGAAGAUCUGUCUCUCCCUCUGACAGAUUUCUUGACAAUGAACUACAUUUUCUAAUCCUUUCAUCUGCUCCACAUCUUGUAGUGGAGGUUAUGAUUUGGCUCCAGGUACUUGCAUUGACAAGCUGUGUUUGGGCUCUGACUUGCUGCGCAGACACUAUGUAUAAUAUAGAGAAAGAUGGAGGGUUUUCUCUAGCUCUCACAAAGCUGAAAUUGCAUCCAUAAUUUUAGUAGGAAAUGUUAAACUUUCCAAAGGAUGUUUGUUGAAGAAAAAUAAAU